CCUACGGGAGGCAGCAGUAGGGAAUCUUCGGCAAUGGACGGAAGUCUGACCGAGCAACGCCGCGUGAGUGAAGAAGGUUUUCGGAUCGUAAAGCUCUGUUGUAAGAGAAGAACGAGUGUGAGAGUGGAAAGUUCACACUGUGACGGUAUCUUACCAGAAAGGGACGGCUAACUACGUGCCAGCAGCCGCGGUAAUACGUAGGUCCCGAGCGUUAUCCGGAUUUAUUGGGCGUAAAGCGAGCGCAGGCGGUUAGAUAAGUCUGAAGUUAAAGGCUGUGGCUUAACCAUAGUACGCUUUGGAAACUGUUUAACUUGAGUGCAGAAGGGGAGAGUGGAAUUCCAUGUGUAGCGGUGAAAUGCGUAGAUAUAUGGAGGAACACCGGUGGCGAAAGCGGCUCUCUGGUCUGUAACUGACGCUGAGGCUCGAAAGCGUGGGGAGCAAACAGGAUUAGAUACCCCAGUAGUC
rnacentral:rRNA from 1 species